rnacentral:lncRNA from 10 species
UUGCGUUAGAUGAUUUUGCCCAACUGUAGCCUGAUGCAGGUGUUUCGGGUCGGCCAGGUGAGGCUAUGAUGCUUGGUAGGUGAGGUGGAUUAAAUGCAUUUUCGACUUGAGAUAUUUUCCAUUUAUGAUGGGUUUAUCAAGACUUAGCCCCAUUGUAAGUAGAGGAGCAUCUGCAUUAUUUUUAAAGGCUAUAUUUCCUAUGUGUCUUUUUUGUUUUCGUUUAUCUAUUGGUCUGAAUGCUUCUAUAUCAUGAAUUUAGCAAGCAGUUUCUAUAUACAGAUAUAAUGUUAUUUCAUUGCUGUAGUAACUUUGGUUUGUUUUGGCCAAAAAUGUAUAAAUUGCUAUUUCGAUUUUAGAGUGUGUUUUCCUUGGCUUUCUUUCCUUUUUUUUUUUUAUUUUUUAUUUUAAGAGACAAGGUCUCACUCCCUGUCAUCCAGGUUGGAGUGCAGUGGUGCAUUCACAGCUCACUGCAGCCUCAAACUUCUGGGCUCAAGUGAUUCUCCUGCCUCAGCCUCCUGAGAGGCUGGGACCACAGGCAUGUGCCAGUACACCCAAGUAAUUUUUUUCUUUUUCUUUUGACAGAGUCUCACUCUGUUGCCUGGGUUGGAGUGCAGUGGCACAAUCUUGGUUCACAGCAACCUCCACCUCCCGGGUUCAAGCGAUUCUCCUGCCUCAGCCUCCUGAAUAUCUGGGACUACAGGCGCCCACCACCACGCCCAGCUAAUUUUUGUAUUUUUAGUAGAGACGGGGUUUCACCAUAUUGGCCAGGCUGGUCUCGAACUAUUGACCUCAUGAGCCACCCACCUCGGCCUCCCAAAGUGCUGGGAUUAUAGGCGUGAGCCACCACGCCCAGCCUUAAAAUUUUUUAUAGAGACAAGGUCUCUCUAUGUUGCUUAGGCUGGUCUCGAACUCCUGGGCUCAAGCCAUCUGCCCAUCUUGGACUCCCAAAGUGCUAGGAUUACAGGCGUGAGUCAUCGCAUCUGGCUGCCUUUGCUUUCUUUCUUAGUGUGUGUGCAUGUUUGUGUACAGUUAGAGCAAUUUGUAUCUUGGAAAAAUCAGUCUUUCUU